AGAGAGAGACAUGCGCGCAUAUCAAUAAGCGGAGGAAAAGAAACUAACAAGGAUUCCCCUAGUAACGGCGAGUGAAGCGGGAAGAGCUCAAAUUUGAAAUCUUAAAGGGUUUCCCUUUACGAAUUGUAGUUUAAAGAAGUGUUUUCUGUUGAGGUUUUGGUAAAAGUUCUUUGGAAUAGGACAUCAUAGAGGGUGAGAAUCCCGUAUUUGACCUUUACUUUCAACUUUGUGAUACACUUUCAAGGAGUCGGAUUGUUUGGGAAUGCAAUCCAAAAUGGGUGGUAAAUUUCAUCUAAAGCUAAAUAUUGGCGAGAGACCGAUAGCGAACAAGUACCGUGAGGGAAAGAUGAAAAGAACUUUGAAAAGAGAGUUAAACAGUACGUGAAAUUGUCAAAAGGGAAGCGUUUGACACCAGUGUUGUUUUUCUGAAAAUCAAUUAAAGAACUGUUUAUGCUAAGCUGUUUAGACUUUAUCAGCUAUCUGUUUAGUUUUGAGCUUUUCUUUAAUGCACUUUUCAGUUAACAAGUCAACAUCAAUUUCUUUUGCUGUAAAAAAGCUUGAGGAAGGUGGCUUGAGAUUCGUCUUAAGUGUUUAUAGCCUCUUGCCUAUGCAGUCGGAGAGAUCGAGGUCUGCAGCGUAGAUCCUUCGGGGCUAAAUGCAUUUGUGCUAAGUUAUAGCAUUUUAUAGACAACUUGUUGACUAUGAUUUGUCUUGUAGCUUACUCGCUUAUGUUAUUUUACCUACGCUUAGGAUGUUGAGCGCAUGUCUCUCUCU
rnacentral:rRNA from 1 species